UGGGGAAUUUUGGACAAUGGGCGAAAGCCUGAUCCAGCAAUGCCGCGUGCAGGAAGAAGGCCUUCGGGUUGUACACUGCUUUUGUACGGAACGAAACGGUCUGCCCUAAUACGGCGGGCUAAUGACGGUACCGUAAGAAUAAGCACCGGCUAACUACGUGCCAGCAGCCGCGGUAAUACGUAGGGUGCGAGCGUUAAUCGGAAUUACUGGGCGUAAAGCGUGCGCAGGCGGUUAUAUAAGACAGUUGUGAAAUCCCCGGGCUCAACCUGGGAAUUGCAUCUGUGACUGUAUAGCUAGAGUACGGUAGAGGGGGAUGGAAUUCCGCGUGUAGCAGUGAAAUGCGUAGAUAUGCGGAGGAACACCGAUGGCGAAGGCAGGUUACUGGACCAUUUCUGACACUAAGGCACGAAAGCGUGGGGAGCGAACG
rnacentral:rRNA from 1 species